rnacentral:rRNA from 1 species
CCUACGUGAGGCAGCAGUGGGGGAUAUUGCACAAUGGGGGGAACCCUGAUGCAGCGACGCCGCGUGGGUGAAGAAGCGCCUCGGCGCGUACAGCCCUGUCAGCAGGGAAGAAAAUGACGGUACCUGAAGAAUCAGCCCCGGCUAACUACGUGCCAGCAGCCGCGGUAAUACGUAGGGGGCAAGCGUUAUCCGGAUUUAUUGGUUGUAAGGGGGCCGAAGCGGGGGAUGCAUGCCAGAAGUGAAAGCCCGGGGCCCAACCCCGGGACGGCCCGUGGAACUGCGUGGCGGGAGUGCAGGAGGGGGAGGCGGAAUUACUGGUGUAGCGGUGAAAUGCGUAGAUAUCAGGAGGAACACCGGUGGCGAAGGCGGCCUGCUGGACUGCAACUGACGUGGAGGCCCGAAAGCGUGGGGAGCAAACAGGAUUAGAUACCCGAGUAGUC